GGCGAAGUGGCGGAGUGGUUAACGCGAUUGACUAGAAUUGAUACUCUGAUUCUUUCAGAAGUAACUGUUUAAAUCAAUUUCCUUCGGGAGCGUAGGUUCAAAUCCUGCCUUCGUCG
rnacentral:tRNA from 1 species